UACGGGGGGCGAAGCGUUGUUCGGAAUUACUGGGCGUAAAGGGCGUCGAUGAGGCGGCCAACGUAAGUUCAGACGUGGAAUACCCUCGGCUUAACCGGGGAACUGCGUCUGAUACUGGAUGGCUUGAGUUCGGGAGGAGGGAUGCGGAAUUCCAGGUGUAGCGGUGAAAUGCGUAGAUAUCGGAAGGAACAUCAGUGGCGAAAGCGACUUCCUGGACCAGUACGACGUCAGGCA
rnacentral:rRNA from 1 species